UACAGAGGAGCCAAGCGUUGUCCGGAUUGACUGGGCGUAAAGCGCACGUAGGCGGCUUACUAAGUCAGGGGUGAAAUCCUGGAGCUCAACUCCAGAACUGCCUUUGAUACUGGUGAGCUUGAGUCCGGAAGAGGUGAGUGGAACUGCGAGUGUAGAGGUGAAAUUCGUAGAUAUUCGCAAGAACACCAGUGGCGAAGGCGGCUCACUGGUCCGGUACUGACGCUGAGGUGCGAAAGCGUGGGGAGCAAACAGG
rnacentral:rRNA from 1 species